rnacentral:rRNA from 1 species
GCCUUAUUCAUGCAAGUCGAGCGAACAGACAAGGAGCUUGCUCCUUUGACGUUAGCGGCGGACGGGUGAGUAACACGUGGGUAACCUACCUAUAAGACUGGGAUAACUUCGGGAAACCGGAGCUAAUACCGGAUAAUAUUUCGAACCGCAUGGUUCGAUAGUGAAAGAUGGUUUUGCUAUCACUUAUAGAUGGACCCGCGCCGUAUUAGCUAGUUGGUAAGGUAACGGCUUACCAAGGCGACGAUACGUAGCCGACCUGAGAGGGUGAUCGGCCACACUGGAACUGAGACACGGUCCAGACUCCUACGGGAGGCAGCAGUAGGGAAUCUUCCGCAAUGGGCGAAAGCCUGACGGAGCAACGCCGCGUGAGUGAUGAAGGUCUUCGGAUCGUAAAACUCUGUUAUUAGGGAAGAACAUACGUGUAAGUAACUAUGCACGUCUUGACGGUACCUAAUCAGAAAGCCACGGCUAACUACGUGCCAGCAGCCGCGGUAAUACGUAGGUGGCAAGCGUUAUCCGGAAUUAUUGGGCGUAAAGCGCGCGUAGGCGGUUUUUUAAGUCUGAUGUGAAAGCCCACGGCUCAACCGUGGAGGGUCAUUGGAAACUGGAAAACUUGAGUGCAGAAGAGGAAAGUGGAAUUCCAUGUGUAGCGGUGAAAUGCGCAGAGAUAUGGAGGAACACCAGUGGCGAAGGCGACUUUCUGGUCUGUAACUGACGCUGAUGUGCGAAAGCGUGGGGAUCAAACAGGAUUAGAUACCUGGGGUAGUCCAAA